rnacentral:rRNA from 1 species
UUGAACGCUGGCGGCAUGCUUUACACAUGCAAGUCGAACGGUAACAGGUCUUCGGAUGCUGACGAGUGGCGAACGGGUGAGUAAUGCAUCGGAACGUGCCCAGUCGUGGGGGAUAACGCAGCGAAAGCUGUGCUAAUACCGCAUACGAUCUAUGGAUGAAAGCGGGGGAUCGCAAGACCUCGCGCGAUUGGAGCGGCCGAUGUCAGAUUAGCUAGUUGGUGGGGUAAAGGCCCACCAAGGCGACGAUCUGUAGCUGGUCUGAGAGGAUGAUCCGUCACACUGGAACUGAGACACGGUCCAGACUCCUACGGGAGGCAGCAGUGGGGAAUUUUGGACAAUGGGGGCAACCCUGAUCCAGCCAUUCCGCGUGAGUGAAGAAGGCCUUCGGGUUGUAAAGCUCUUUCAGCCGGAACGAAACGGUACGCUCUAACAUAGCGUGCUAAUGACGGUACCGGCAGAAGAAGCACCGGCUAACUACGU